GGCCCCUCCUCCUUCCAUCUCCAAGGGGCUUUGGGAAAGGUAUAAAAACGCACCACCAUCCUCUGCGUCAGGACCAGUUGAAGUGCAAUAUUGAAGCCUGUACUGUACGAUUCAGGAUCCAGACUCUAACCUCAAGGCAUGUUGACCAGGAAUUUUCUCAUCUUCUGCUCUCUGGCAGUUCUGCUAGUACAAGCUGACUUCGAUACUAAUAACGAUCACGCUGCCCAAGCCAUGUCCACAGAUAAGGACUCAACCUCGGAGGAAGCUCCAACUGAAAGCAUAAAUGCCAUAUCCGCGGAUCAGCCUAAUGAUAUGCCACAGUAUUACAAUGAGGGAUUGCUGCUCCUAAACCUAAUGGAGUCACUGGACCUGGUGUUGCAGCAAACAGUGUUGAGGACCAGGAGGAGGAUGAAAGCUCAGAUGAAGGUCUGAAAAAAAAUAAUGUUCCUCCUCCUCCUCCUCCUGCUCCACAACAAAACUCAGGAAAGUUAGUUGGGCCAGCAGGUGGGAACCGGAGAAAGGCCCCAGCCCCACAACAAAAGAGGAGAUCACGACCCUCCCGCCGUCAGCAGUGAAAUGCCAAAAAGACACAGAGGCAAACAUUUACUUUUAGUUAAUUGCAUAGAAGAAGAAACAUAUUGUAUCCUAUUACUGUAUAUGCCAUAACAUGAAAGUGUACAGAACCGUACUCGCAUGAUGAAGCUGCUUUGAUGUAUCUUGAGCAGCAGAACAGUCAGCAAGACAUGACAUAUUGUUUACUGUAAUGUCUGUGGAAAACACUCAGUGGUAUGUUCAAUACAAACUCAUGGGCAUUUCUCUGUGAAUAAAAAUGUAGGAUUAAAUUAACAAUGUAUUGUGAUGACAUAAAACCAGGCCAAAUUAUCAUAACUGACCUUGACCUUAAGAGCCACUGAAACGGCUCUAAAUUCACCAACCUGUUUCAAAAUAGCAAGGACCUCACUCCCAUGAAAAUACCUCCAUUUCUAAAUGAGCGCACACACCGCACUAAAUGUCGAUCUCCGUUCAUUCGGCGUGGUGUGUUUUAUGGACCACUUGCCUGUGGGCGUCUGACUGCUAACAUUUUCG
ensembl:lncRNA